CUACGGGUCGCUGCAGUGAGGAAUAUUGGACAAUGGGCGAAAGCCUGAUCCAGCAAUACCACGUGAGUGAUGAAGGCCUUCGGGUUGUAAAGCUCUUUUAACAGGGAAGAUAAUGACGGUACCUGUAGAAAAAGCACCGGCUAAUUCCGUGCCAGCAGCCGCGGUAAUACGGAAGGUGCUAGCGUUGUUCGGAUUUAUUGGGCGUAAAGCGUACGUAGGCGGUUUAGUGUGUUAGAUGUGAAAGCCCAGGGCUUAACCUUGGAAUUGCAUUUAAAACUGCUAGACUUGAGUAUAACAUGGGAUGGCGGAAUUUCUAGUGUAGGGGUGAAAUCCGUAGAUAUUAGAAGGAACACCAGUAGUGCAGACGGCCACCUUGGUUAUCACUGACGCUAAGGUACGAAAGCGUGGGUAGCAAACAGGAUUAGAUACCCGAGUAGUC
rnacentral:rRNA from 1 species